CUUACUUGUCCUUCACUGUCCUCCCUGCACACUCACUCUCUGUAAAGUCCUGUGUCGCACUCGGAGCUGAAGUCGUGGGAUUAGCUGCAGCAUUCUUAUGUAACUCUGCUCCGUGGAAGACAGGAAGUGGUGCCAGGCUGCCAGUAAGGAAUAACAGCCUCACAUGGCGCCCAGGCGGGCACAGCAGUGAGCGACAUGGGCCCUCAGGGGAGCACUGCCACGGCUGCCUAUAGCACACUGCACUGCCACGAAUAGAUAGAGGAGCUAUUUCUGGAUCUCCCACACUGCAGCGGCACUAUACCUGGACGGAGGGACACGACCCCAAACUGUCCGAGCCACAGGGAGAGCACGGUUAGGAUGUCAGCUUGCUCCGCUCCCCCGCUCAUUACGCCUGUGGACCGGAGACGCUGUCCUCACUGCUUCCCCUCCCGCGAACCCGCUGCCUCACACUGGGCCGGGCAUUUGGACCUUGAUGGGAGAACCCUGCAGAAAUCCAAGAGAGACAUAAAACUGUCAGAAACUGAUGGAUGCGUUCUGGUAAUUCUGGAAAAGUUGCACAACAUGAUAACUUAAGAAACUUAAGGUCCUGUUCUUGGGUGUUGAACAAGGAUUUUUUUAGGCCUGCUUGAAAUUCAUGUGAAAAAAGUGAGCGUCUCCCCGGUUGUGAGACGAAGUUAAACCCUGAGCUUAAUGUCUGGAGCUUUCUGAUACUUGACCACAGCUGCAGCUGCCACACCUGCUGCCAGCAGCUGUCUUUCUGGACAAAUUCAUGCCAGCAGCUCCCAGGCGAACGUCCUGCAUCUUACAUUUCAAAAGGCCUCGGCUCAGUGUCAUUUUUCCCAGUCAUAUAUCUUCAUUAUAAGACAGCCAUGGAGCAGACCUUUUAAAUACGUCUCAUCAGAUAUGGGACACUUUUAAAUCUGCCUCAGUUUGGAUUGGAAUUUCACUAUUUAGCUCUGGUUGAGUAAAGCUGUAUUAAGUUUUGUAAAAAAAAAAAGAAAAAGGCAACAGAAAUGUGUAAAUCACAAUAUUAUAAGUUUGAUUAUAAUGAAAACCGAACUUUUGUGCACUACAAUGUUAUUUGUUUUAAUUAUUGAUGGUUAUUAAUUAUUAAAUAAUGUGUAAAAUAUCA